rnacentral:rRNA from 1 species
CCUACGGGUGGCAGCAGUGAGGAAUAUUGGACAAUGGACGAGAGCCUGAACCAGCAAAGUAGCGUGAAGGAUGACGGCCCUAUGGGUUGUAAACUUUUUUUAUAUGGGAAUAAAAUGUUCAACGUGUGGGAUUUUGUAUGUACCAUAUGAAUAAGGAUCGGCUAACUCCGUGCCAGCAGCGGCGGUAAUACGGAGGGUCCGAGCGUUACCCGGAUUUAUUGGGUUUAAAGGGAGCGUAGGUGGAUUGUUAAGUUAGUUGUGAAAGUUUGCGGCUUAACCGUAGAAUUGCAGUUGAAACUGGCAGUCUUGAGUACAGUAGAGGUGGGCGGAAUUCGUGGUGUAGCGGUGAAAUGCUUAGAUAUCACGAAGAACUCCGGUUGCGAAGGCAGCUCACUGGACUGCAACUGACACUGAGGCUCGAAAGUGUGGGUAUCAAACAGGAUUAGAUACCCGGGUAGUC